AAGGGGUAGCAAUACAACCGGCGCACGGGUGAGUAACGCGUACACAACAUACCAUAUACUGGAGUAUAGCUUUGGGAAACUGAAGGUAAUCCUCCAUAACAUUGCGAGAGGGCAUCUGAUUGCAAUUAAAGUUUCGGCGGUAUAUGAUUGGUGUGCGUUUGAUUAGCUAGUUGGUAGGGUAACGGCCUACCAAGGCGACGAUCAAUAGCUGGCGUGAGAGCGCGACCAGCCACACUGGAACUGAGACACGGUCCAGACUCCUACGGGAGGCAGCAGUAGGGAAUAUUGGACAAUGGAGGAAACUCUGAUCCAGCCAUGCCGCGUGAUAGAUGAAGGCCCUCUGGGUUGUAAAUAUCUUUUAUCUGGGAAGAAACACUCCUAUUCUUAGGAACUUGACGGUACCAGAGGAAUAAGCACCGGCUAACUCCGUG
rnacentral:rRNA from 1 species